rfam:Lachancea lanzarotensis strain CBS 12615 genome assembly, scaffold: LALA0S06
GCGGAUUUAGCUCAGUUGGGAGAGCGCCAGACUGAAGAUAACUUCGGUCACUUAGAAAUCUGGAGGUCCUGUGUUCGAUCCACAGAAUUCGCA